UCGAUCUCACUCCAGACCCUUUCCUGACACCUGAUCAUCGACACGUAAUCGUUUGCCUUUACACACCUUGCCCACAACAUUUUCAGGUUGCUGUACGCCGGGGAAACGACUCUGGACGACGGGAGGGGGUCAAUGGCCGGUACGCUUUUAAAUUAGCGUGGAAUUUUGUCUGAUUCUGAGACAAAGGGGAAGAGAAAUAUCGCUAUCAGAUUAAAUCCAGGAAGAUUUUUGUGCAUAACUGUGCAAAAAUGAGCAAGCUCACUUUUGGUGUGGGGAUUAUAAGGAGAAAAAUUGAUGAGUACCGACCUGAAGUUUUCGCUGGUUACGACCAUUAUUGUCCUGGGGCUUAUUGUUGCCACCGGUCUGACGGCUGCCCUGCAUUGAUUA
rnacentral:sRNA from 1 species